CCCUAAACCCGAUGGCAGCGGAAAUCCUUUUUGGCUGCACGAAACCUUCACUUCCUCCAACACACGCAGCCCAAAAAGAUUGCAGCAAACAGCGGGGCUGCAG
rfam:Pedobacter sp. Leaf194 contig_3, whole genome shotgun sequence.